UCCGUAGGUGAACCUGCGGAGGGAUCAUUACUGAGUUUACGCUCUACAACCCUUUGUGAACAUACCUAUAACUGUUGCUUCGGCGGGUAGGGUCUCCGCGACCCUCCCGGCCUCCCGCCUCCGGGCGGGUCGGCGCCCGCCGGAGGAUAACCAAACUCUGAUUUAACGACGUUUCUUCUGAGUGGUACAAGCAAAUAAUCAAAACUUUUAACAACGGAUCUCUUGGUUCUGGCAUCGAUGAAGAACGCAGCGAAAUGCGAUAAGUAAUGUGAAUUGCAGAAUUCAGUGAAUCAUCGAAUCUUUGAACGCACAUUGCGCCCGCCAGCAUUCUGGCGGGCAUGCCUGUUCGAGCGUCAUUUCAACCCUCAAGCUCUGCUUGGUGUUGGGGCCCUACAGCUGAUGUAGGCCCUCAAAGGUAGUGGCGGACCCUCUCGGAGCCUCCUUUGCGUAGUAACUUUACGUCUCGCACUGGGAUCCGGAGGGACUCUUGCCGUAAAACCCCCAAUUUUCCAAAGGUUGACCUCGGAUCAGGUAGGAAUACCCGCUGAACUUAAGCAUAUCAAUAAGCGGAGGA
rnacentral:rRNA from 1 species